rnacentral:rRNA from 1 species
ACGAAGGGUGCAAGCGUUAAUCGGAAUUACUGGGCGUAAAGGGUGCGUAGGUGGUUCGUUAAGUCCGUUGUGAAAGCCCCGAGCUCAACUUGGGAAUUGCAGUGGAUACUGGCGAGCUGGAGUGCGGUAGAGGAAGGUGGAAUUCCCGGUGUAGCGGUGAAAUGCGUAGAGAUCGGGAGGAACACCAGUGGCGAAGGCAGCCCCCUGGGCCUGUACUGACGCUCAUGCACGAAAGCGUGGGGAGCAAACAGGA